rnacentral:rRNA from 1 species
GUGCCAUCCGCCGCGGUAAUACAUAGGGGUCAAGCGUUGUCCGGAUUUAUUGGGCGUAAAGAGCUCGUAGGCGGUUCAACAAGUCGGUCGUAAAAGUUUAGGGCUCAACCCUAAAAUGUCGAUCGAUACUGUUGUGACUAGGAUACGGUAGAGGUGAAUGGAAUAUAACAUGUAGCGGUGAAACGCAUAGAUAUGUUAUAGAACACCAAUUGCGAAGGCAGAUCACUAAACCAUUACUGACGCUGAGGUACGAAAGCGUGGGGAGCGAACAGGAUUAGAUA